GAAGCCCACCGUUGGAAAACAGGUUUCUCCCAAUGAGGGAGGCUGACCUAAAGCUCUUUUGCCUAAAACCAGCGGAAAAGCGCUUAAGCGCUUCAUUUGUUAAAAAUAAUUCUCUCUCUUCAAGAAUAACCAGAGUUGCUGUGCAACUCCUUUCAUCUUCUCCGUUCAACCUUCAUCGGAGAAGCGGCGGCGCGCGGCGGCGCGCGGCGGCCGCCACCGUCUUCUCCGGUGACCACCGCCCUCAACCCUAACAACAACAAAAAAACCUCACCUUUAUUUUUGCCUCUGAGUUCAAAUAUGAACUCGCUUUUUCCGAUUUGUUCCUCAAAUGGCCGGAUCGAGGCCCUCCCUCGAAAUACCAAAACUAACCCUAAACUCUCCUUCUCAUAUGGCCAAACGUAGCUUGAUUCGUUCUUAACCUUAACCAAAAACUUAAACACCCAAAACCUAACCCUAGAUUCAAGAUCUGAAGUUCUACAACAAAGUUUUGAAGAAAUUAAAAGAAAGAUCUCAUCCAGUAUGAAGAGGCGUAAAUGAUGAUGAUGCAAAGACUUUAACGAAGGAGGAAAAAAUUACUUGUUUGAAAUCCAACUCCGGCGAAGCUCCCCACGGUUUAAGAUAAGUUCUCCAUCUUCUUCUAUUUUUUGCUUUCUUUUAUUUUUGCUUUGAGUGUUGUUGUUGAUUGGCUUGAUGUCUUAGGGUUUAGAGCUUUUUAUGGAUUAUUGUUUGAUUGUUCUCUGGAAAAAAAAGUUUCUUCUAUUUGGUUUAGGUUUAACAAAGAAAAAAUCUUUGAUUGAGUUGAGAAAUAUUUGGUUAUCCUGUUGAAUCUGUCGAAAAACCUAUGCCUUGUUCUUUUGUUUGUGGUUUUAACAGAGAGAAAUAUUUUUAGCAAUUUCUCUGAGUUUUUUAGAACGUGUCUUGUUAAUUAAUUUUUUCUUGUUUAUAUAUGCUCAUUGUUGGUUAUAAGAUAACUUGCCAAGCUAUCCUUUCUCCAGAUUUUGUGGGAUGAUUAAUCUUAUGGAUUUAAGGUUGUAGGUUUGGAUAUUGGAAUGUGAUCUUUGAACGUUCUUCUUGGUUUGUUGUGUAAAGAGCUAAUCUGUUUGUCCCAUCCUUUAUUUUCUAGUUUUUAAAGUGCUUAUUUGGAUAAGCUGUUUUUUUUAAAUUGUGAAUUGGUUUUGCAGGUUUGCAAAAGGUGAGUGGACAUUGAGUGAAGGGAGGGCGGCGCCAGCUUUGGAGGCUAAAAUUGGGGUGUGAAUUUCAACCAUUAGCUUUGAAGAAGUCCUUGAAGAUUUGCUACUUUAGACUGCUGUUUUUACGGCUUAUUCCAAUUUUCAACUUAUUUUAAAUGUACUCCAAAUUCUGUAAUAAUAUUGGGAUUUAAUAUUAGAAAUUUGAAGUUAAACAGCUUAUUCCAA